UAGAGAAUAUUGUGCAAUAUACGGCAGUAUGACACAGAGAGCACACGCCCUCUUGGCCUGUCCAACUAAGUGCCAGCAGACGCGGUUAGACUUAGGGGCCAAGCCUUUAUGAGCAAAGGGGCGUAAAGGGUGUGUAGGCCGACUGCCCCACCCCCCCCAAGGUGGUAAAUGGAAUUUUUCUGUAGCGGUAGAAUGUGCGGAUAGAAAAUAGAACCCCAAAAGCAGAAGCAAUUUACCGCGGGGCGGGAGGGGGGCCCCCUAGGGCGCCCCCCGGGCUACGGGCUGAAACACGAGGGUGUGGGGAACAAACAGGAUUAGAGACCCUGGUAGUCCACACUGUAAACGAUGGAGAAAAUGCGAAUGCAGCCCCGAAAGGCAGCAAUCUCCCGCCUGAGUAGUACGAUCGCAAGAUUAAAAUUCAAAAAAUUUGGCUGUUCACCGUUUCGAUUAGAGGAGCGUGUAGUUUAAUUCGAUAAACCGCGAGAUACCUUACCCAAACUUGAAUCCUUGAGGAUUCCAAGGAAUCCUUAUGGACCGGUAUUGCAUGGCCGUCGUCAGUUCGUGUAUGAAACCUUAAACGGACCCAACCCGAGGAUUAGCCGCGGAUGAAGUCAGGUCUUAUGGUCCCAAUGUUUGGGGAUAAUAUGCGCUACAUUUUCUUAUACAAUGGGAAACCUGGGAGGUGAAACCCAAAAGUGAGAGUUCGGUAGGCUAUUGGAAGAUGGCCGAAAGUUGAAUUUAAUAGUAAUCGGAAAGUAUAGCGUUCCGGUGAAAUGGUCUAGGUGUUAGCACAAAUCGCCCGUCACCUUAACUUAGGAUGAUGGUUCGGACGCCGCCGCGCCCCCACGGG
rnacentral:rRNA from 1 species